ACGAGGGAUGGGAGGCAGAGGGGAAGCGAGGCCGGGCGGAGGGAGGAAACACGUGCAGAUUGAAGGGUCGGGGGAAGCUGCUGUGGGUCGGCUGAGUGGGUUACGGUUUCGCCCGAGUUAUAGCCACAUAUUGAUGCGUGUAUUGGUGUGGAAAGGGAACCCGUUCGACGCGAUGGGGAAGGCUUACUAAUACGUGUGUGCGUGCGAGCGAAGAGGACAAAUCAUUAUGAACAACAUUUCAGCUGAAGCGAAAGUGCUGCAGAAUGUUCGGCAUAGUUGUGUCUGUGGUCACGUUCGGUCUGAUUCUCGCCUGGACUCUGCGACUCCCUCCGCGCCUCCUCGGGGUCUACAGCCGCCCUGGCUUCUGGUACUGGCCCAAGGUCCUCGUGUUCUUCCUGCUGGUUAAACUGCGCCGCUGGCAAGGGAGCAGACACAAGGACGGUGAAGAUGCUGGCUACGGCGUCAAGUCACGAGCGUCUCCCGAGUUAAUGGACUGCGUUCAGCCCUUGUCCGACCAUCCUAAGGCCAUAGAUGCUGUAUACUUUAAUUCCGGGAGUGAAAACGGUCACUAUGUUGUGGCUGCCGCCGCCAGGAGGCCGCACGGAGUCGUAAACGGCGUGCUGUACAUUCGGAUCCCGAGCCUUGGCGUGCUGCAGCUGCCCAAGACGCCGGACACGAUGCUCUUCGGGGAAGGGAAGGAGUUCGCCGCCGAGGGCCUCCGGCUGAGCCCCGUGCGGGCCAUGCGCGAGUGGCGCAUCCAGUACGAGGGACCCAUGAAGCUGCGAGGAGAGCCCCUGUCCUCUUUCGACGUCCACCUCGAUGCCAAGUGGACGAGCGAACAGCCAUACUUCGACUUUGACACAGACAUGGAUGCCAUGGCGCUGGCGAGGAGCAUGGCGCGAGAACCUUGGUCGAGACAGUACUUUGAGGAUCUAAAAGCAGCGCACCAGACGCACUAUGAGCAGAUGGGAAGGAUUGAAGGGACUGUUGUAGUAGACGGACACGCGUAUAUUCUCCGCCUGGAUUCCAUGCGCGACCACAGCUAUGGACAUAAGAGGGAAUGGAAGCAUAUUCAUAGAUAUGGGCUGCACAUGAUUACAACAGAAGAUAAGUUGCAAAUCAACGUGGGCAUUGUCUGCCAACCCAUCACAUGUUCUCACGUUUUCCCGCAGGCUGGAGUUGGGCUACGUCAGCGAUGGCCGCCAAGUGUUCCCGGUGACGUCUGUAGAUCUCCCGCUGUGGCAGCACGGGGAGGGGGGCCACCCGCCCACCGACUACGCCUUCGCCUUCACUGCAGGCAAUAAAGAAUACAUGGUGGAGGUCUCCGUGGUAGAUUCGCCGCAGUUCUACAUCGGCUGGGAGUGGGAGAGCCGGGUCGUCGAGCGCUUUGCCACUUUCAAAGUGAACGGGCGCCGCGGGUGGGGCAUCGCCGAGUGGCAGUACCGUUACAAAGGCGGCCGCCCAUAUUCUUACAGCUCUCGGG
rnacentral:misc_RNA from 1 species